AUCAACUUUCGAUGGUAGGAUAGAGGCCUACCAUGGUGGUAACGGGUAACGGGGUGUUAGGGCACGACACCGGAGAGGGAGCCUGAGAAACGGCUACCACAUCCAAGGAUGGCAGCAGGCGCGCAAAUUACCCAAUCCCGACACGGGGAGGUAGUGACAAUAAAUAACAAUACGGGGUUCUUUAGGAUCUCGUAAUUGGAAUGAGUACAAUUUAAAUCUCUUAACGAGGAACAAUUGGAGGGCAAGUCUGGUGCCAGCAGCCGCGGUAAUUCCAGCUCCAAUAGCGUAUAUUAAAGUUGUUGCAGUUAAAAAGCUCGUAGUUGAAUUUCGGGGUUAGUAGGUUGGUCAUGCCUCUGGUAUGUACUGGUCUCACUGAUUCCUCCUUCCUGAUGAACCUUAAUGCCAUUAAUUUGGUGUUUUGGGGAAUUUGGACUGUUACUUUGAAAAAAUUAGAGUGUUUAAAGCAAGCUAACGCUUGAAUACAUUAGCAUGGAAUAAUGAAAUAGGACGUUCGAUCCUAUUUUGUUGGUUUCUAGGAUUGACGUAAUGAUUAAUAGGGAUAGUUGGGGGCAUUAGUAUUCAAUUGUCAGAGGUGAAAUUCUUGGAUUUAUUGAAGACUAACUACUGCGAAAGCAUUUGCCAAGGAUGUUUUCAUUAAUCAAGAACGAAAGUUAGGGGAUCGAAGACGAUCAGAUACCGUCGUAGUCUUAACCAUAAACUAUGCCGACUAGGGAUCGGAUGAUGUUAAUUUUUUUAAUGACUCAUUCGGCGCCUUACGGGAAACCAAAGUGUUUGGGUUC
rnacentral:rRNA from 1 species